CACAAGGAGCAAUCUGAGGUGGCGACCGGCGCACGGGUGAGUAACACGUAUGCAACCUGCCUGUAAGCGGGGAAUAACCCGUUGAAAGACGGACUAAUACCGCAUAAUACUAAAUUACUGCAUGGUAAUUUAUUUAAACAUUUAUGGCUUACAGAUGGGCAUGCGCAUGAUUAGCUAGUUGGAGAGGUAACGGCUCCCCAAGGCAACGAUCAUUAGGGGUUCUGAGAGGAAGGUCCCCCCACACUGGUACUGAGACGCGGACCAGACUCCUACGGGAGGCAGCAGUGAGGAAUAUUGGUCAAUGGACGAGAGUCUGAACCAGCCAAGUCGCGUGCAGGAAGAAUUGUCCUAUGGAUUGUAAACUGCUUUUGCAGGGGAAUAAAGUGCAUCACGUGUGAUGUUUUGUAUGUACUCUGCGAAUAAGGAUCGGCUAACUCCGUGCCAGCCGCCGC
rnacentral:rRNA from 1 species